rnacentral:lncRNA from 1 species
AAAAAAAAAAAAAAAAAAAAAAAUUUCAUAAUUAGUGUUUAUUGAGUUCAACUGGUUACUAUCUGCAAGGAAUUCCAAAUGUGUAAUAGAGGUUAUACUUGGUAUAAUUGGUUUUGCUAAUAAAAUACUGAGCUGUAAAAUUUAUUAUAAUAAUAUAUUAAGAUAUAAAAUGUUGAAGCAGUUCUUACAUGCAUUUGAAAAUUAUUGUAGUCCUCCCCAAGAAAUUCCACAUGGAAACUUGAUAAGACUGGCUGUGGAUGAGUUAUUCUGUUCCAAGAUUGGACUCUGUGAAGAGCACGGGUGUGGUGGCUUAAGAGAAUUUUCCCAACGAGUUUUCUGCCAUGGGGCACCCCCUUUUGUUGUCUUAAAUAUGCAGCAUUGGAAAUCUGAAGAUCUGGCAUAUGUACCCUAUUACUUGGAUUUGUCUGACCACAAGUAGGUGUUUUUUGUUGUUGUUUCUUUAUAAAACUAAUAAAAAAAUUUUAUCCUAUUAUGGUUUUGACUAGCCCGUAAGUGAUAUUGUUGAAAACAAUCAUAUCUGUCUCUAAAUUUAUGUAUUCUGAAUAGAAUCAGAAUUUAUUAGAGGGAGUCAGUUACUAGCAGUGCACAUAGUGGGUAGGUAUGUGGACUAUAGAAUAAACAAUUGUAUUCAAAUCAUAGCCCCAUCUUUUAUAAAUUAACCUUGGGUCAACAACUUAACCAGUUUACAUGUCAGUUUUCUUAUCUAUAAAACAGAGAUGAUGGUAUCAACCUAGUGCAAUUAUUGUAAAGAUUUAAUAAGCACAUACUAAGUGUUUAAGAUAGUGCCUGACACAUAAUACUGGAUAGUAUAAUAAUAGCACAAUAUUUUAUUCCUGACACGUACUGGCUAAUAUUUGUAUUUCAAGUCAAAGAAGUGUGUAGUAGCCGGGCGUGGUGGCUCACGCCUGUAAUCCCAGCACUUUGGGAGGCCAAGGUGGGCAGAUCACAAGGUCAGGAGAUUGAGACCAGCCUGGCUAACAUGGUGAAACCUCGUCUCUACUAAAAAUACAAAAAAUUAGCCAGGCGUGGUGGUGGGCGCCUGUAGUCCCAGCUACUUGGGAGGCUGAGGCAGGAGAAUGGCGUGAACCUGGGAAGCAGAGCUUGCAGUAAGCCGAGAUCACCACUGCACUUCAGCCUGGGCGACAGAGUGAGACUCCAUCCCCCCCAAAAAAAAAAAAAAAGAAGUGUGUAAUAGUAUGCAGGUGGUCAUCAU